ACAGCCUUUGCUGGGAAGCUCCAACUUGCCCAUCCCUCCAAGUCCCUCCUUGGUGGGGUCCAUAGAGGGACAAGCCCUUGCCAGAAUGGUGCUGGCAGAUCUGUCUGUUCCUUGUGGUUUUAGCACUGACUGAUAGAAUUCUUUACUCCCAAGUUUUUGUGGCUUCCUUUCUUCAGGAAAGGAAGUUGUGGCUUCCUUUCUUCAGCAGCUGUUCAUUUAACGUGAAGUGUUAAGGUUAUCAUAGCAGAAUUUGCCAGUCUGGGGGAGAAAGAGGGAAAGAAACACUGCCAGGUCAAAUCCAAAUAGGGAACAGGAACAGGGGAGGAGGGUGUUCAAGGGGGUUCCUAAGCUGCCUCUGUUUCUACCCUGUUGCAGUAGUGAGAGCAGAAUCAGCAGCACUCACUUCUUUGUGUUUCAAGGCAGUGGCUCUUUGGGCUACUGCUUUGAAUGCUCUUAAGCAAACUUAGAGGGUGAUACCCUACCCUUCCUCACCUCCUCUGCUGUAACUGCUUUCUGAGCUGGGGUUUGUGUGCAGCACCAGGGGGGGCUCACCAAAUCUCAUUGUAUCUUCUUUUCUCUCCCUUCCCAUGUGCAUCGAUGGAAGCUUUUUGAAGUUUAUCAACGGCAAAGGAGAAGGGCCACCCUGAACAGCCAAGAACAGGUGGCUGGCUCUGGUAAUGGAACAGGAGCUAAUGAUGUACCUGUGGCUGGCUCAGCCCCUGCAGAACAGGGAGCAGAGGAGGAGAGAACUGCAAGUUCAGAUGCACAGCAAGGACUUGUCAUUAGGUGUCCAAUUUGCAUGGAUUCUUACUCAGAGAUUCUGCAAAGUGGACGACUGAUUAUGGCAACCAUGUGUGGCCAUGUCUUCUGCAGCGAGUGCCUCCCUGCUGCCCUGGAGACUGUCGGUGUGUGCCCAACCUGCAGGGCGGAACUUACUCCAGAGCUAUACCAUCCCAUUUAUUUAUGAGUGCUUCUCAGGACAGACUGAGAUGGAUCUUGGACAGUAGGCAGUGUAGAGACUUGUUUCUUUAGGUAUAUAGUUCUUCCUGUAUAUAGUUUCAUUUUUGAUAAUUUCAAUUAUAAAUAAAGUUUUGCUUGAUUUAA